rnacentral:lncRNA from 1 species
AUGUGUUUCAAAGGUGCGUCACGUGCCCAGGAUUUGUCACAGGAUGGUAGUAUAUCAGAACAAGUUAUGCAGCUACAGUUUGAAAACAAUUACCUCAAAAAUAAACUGGAGAAACAAGAGAACGUAACGAGGGAAGCCAUUAAAAAAAUAGCUAAACUGGAGAUCGAUAAAGAGUCUUUGGAAUGCGGCAUGUGGACUGUAAGGGCACGUACAGCUAUGGAAGAUUUUGAGGAAGAAUUUGGUAAAGGAGCCAAUAUGACGUUAACUGAAGUUGAAAAAAAAAGAGUGGAAGGCAACUACUUAGAGGAACAGCGUCUUCGCAGAGAGAAAAAAUAUAACUGGAUUUUUGAAAAUAAGACAGAUGAAUUCCGAGUAAAAUUAUUAAAAGCCAAUAUUGAGAGCAGAACAUUGUUUCCAAGGACUACUCAGGAAUAUUCUUACGGUGCAGCUUGGACAUUCAGAUAUUUAUGCGAUUUUACACACCGUUUUCUGUCUGUUGGUAUAACUGGCCCUAUCGAUGCAAGGAUUAUUAAUGACCAAGCGGCACGAGGUGCUCUCGAAGUAUUUCUUACGACAAAGUUUGGGGACGGUAACGCGAUACUGGAAGACUGCACUGGAAAAAAAAUCUCGGUGUAUUUACUAAGAAAAGGGUAAAAUUACCAAGAAUUCAGGGUUCUAUUUGAUCUCAGUUUUUGCUUGGUAAAAUUACCAUUUAUGGAAUUGGUAAUUUUACCAAGAAAUCUUGGUAAAGUCAUUGAACUUUCUCGGUAAUUUUACUGGAUCUUGGUAAAAACGCCAAUAUUUUUAUCGACUGUGGUAGAAUUACCGAGAUAGAAUGGCAAAGAUACCGGGAAUUGAUUACCAAUAAAAGUGGUAUAUUCUUACCUGGAAAAAACAGUAAAAAUGCCGGUUUUUAGGUAAGCUUACCAGUCUGUCUUGGUAAAAUUACCAAUAAUUGGUAAAAAAGUGAGGUGGUAAAGGUACCAACGGACUUUGGUAAAAACGCCGAGAAUUUUUUUUCAGUGUGUCUCAUUAGAAAAUAGGGAAAAUUAAGCCACGUUAUCACACACCACUUCACCCUUUAUUUUACGCGCAAACAUUUUAAUUCAAAUUCAAGUGAGCUUCAAUUCCGUUGUGAAUCUAACUGUAUGUUUUUCUUUUUUAUCCAAAAGUCUGUAACCUAUUUUCUAAUUUUACUACGUUACACUUAUGAUUCUUAAGUUUUGUCAAACUCUAUGCUUUGUUAGGUUGCUGCUGCGCCUAAAUAAAACCAUAUUAUCACUGCUACUUUUCGGCCUCUUUUAAAUUUUUCAAAUAUUCAACAUUUUUGAAAUUUUUCUUAGUUUUACUACCCCUCAACUCUUUUACACUACCCUUUCUAUCACAGCUUCAAAAUUUACAGUUAUCAAUCAAUGUGAAAGCAUACAUGAGCAUAACAAAGAUAACUCUUAUCUUUUGACUUCAUGUCCUGAGUCAAUGAGUCGUUGCGGUGCGAUAUCUCGAG